CAUACCAAGAUGCUUGCUGCUUCCUCUGACGUAAGGAGGUUCCUCACCUGCACUAGUUCUUCCUUUGACUGGACUCUUCUGCACGCUUGUCUGAUUUCUUUCUUUUUUACCAUUUAAAAUCUUUUGUUAUAAAAAUAAUAAAUGUUCAGGAGAUAUUUUAAAGCUAAUUAAUAUGAUGCAAUAUAAUAUUCAUAGAAAUAUUACAUGGAAUUCCAUAUAUAUAUAUAUAUAUAUACACACACACACACAUAUAUGUAAUCUUCAAUUUACAUGUGUACUGGUUAAAUAUUGAAAAAUAAAAAACAAAUCAAAUCUUCAUGACCACUACUUAAGGAUACCUGAUAAUUGAAUCAAAGUAGUUUCUUCUUCUUCUCCUUCUUUCUUCUUCUUCUUCUUCUUCUUCUUCUUCUUCUUCUUCUUCUUCUUCUUCUUCUUCUUCUUCUUCUUCUUCUUCUUUAAAUCCACACUGCAGCAUUUCUAAUAAAUGAUUCUUCUCUGAUGAAUAGUUGCUGUCUAAGUUUUGGUAACAAUUACCUCCAUGUAUCUUUAUUCUGUUCUACUUUUGUCUCGUUAUAGAUAUGUAUAAGUUACUGGAGUGUAUUGAAAUAGCUUUUAAAAAAUAUCUUUUUAAGGAAGAGGGGGUACAUGUUAAUAUUAUUUUCCUGACAACUGGUUCACAAUUUGUCAAGUUGACAAACAAGUUAAACCAGGAUACUUUGAAAGGAGUAUAUGAUGCCCCAGGUUUUGAGGUAGAUUGUUUCUUGACUAUAUGGUGAAGAACGUGGAUCAUGGAGAGCACUUGCCUUUAAGCUGAAAUGACUUUGUGAGAUCUUGAGGUAAGAAACUCAGGAAAAUGUAGACUCACUUCUAGAUUGGUUGUUAAGUGUAAACCUACCUUGAGAAGAAUAGAAGAAUGUCCUGUGCGAUGGUUGGAGGAUCAAUAAAUAGAUAUUGGAGGUUCCUCCACAUUCCAGGAAUCUGAGAUUGUAUUUGUAACAACUCAUUACUUCAAGGUCAAAAAAUAGACAUCCAUUAGCUUCAGACUGGAGCACUGUGUGUAUUC
rnacentral:lncRNA from 1 species